rnacentral:lncRNA from 1 species
GUGUUUUUUUCCAAUGGAAUGUUUUUUGGUAUUUGGUCAAACAUAUAACUAUGUUAACCUCUUCAAUUUCUAAAACAUUUUAAGUGGUAAGCUGUUGUUGAUUCAGAAAUACAUGCCGCCGCUCGCAAAAUUUCAAACUGCAAUUAUCUCUAAAACGACAAUAGAUAUCUCAAAUCUGUUAAAUGAUAAAUGAUCUACAGUUAAAGGACAACAUUAUAGAAAAAGAAUUGGACAAUUUCAAAGUUCACCAAGGUCACAAUUAAUCAUCAAAUAUAUGAUGCAAUACCAAACUUGAGAACCGGAAGUCGUAGAGACAUGGGACUACCACCAUUCAACUCAGGACCACUUGACCUUUCAAAUAUCACAAGGUCAAGGUCAUAGUAUAAUGUGAAGGUCAAGGUGAAAUUUCAUCAUGACCUGACAUUGACCUCAAAUUGAAGGUCUUGAAUUACUGAUCAUCUUUGCAGUUUAUAGUAGGUUGAUAUCUGUUACCUUUAAAAAGAUAUACACAAAAUACUAUACUUUUAAGAAUCAUCCCGUUGUAACUUUUGAACAGACAGUCGGACAUUUUUGGGCUUAUCAUAUAAAAUGUAGAGCUCGUCGAGAGGAACAUUUUAUACGCUGUAUGUAUGCAGCAAAGUCUUAUCGUUUUCCUAAUAUGUAAGCUUGAAAUUGCAGCGUAAUUUUUUUUUUGCACUCAGUGACCUUUGACCUUGACUGCAUAUUAAAGGUCACAUGAAUUAAAGAUUAUUGGUGAAGGUCCCAAGUCUCUACGACUUCUGGUUCUCGAAAUACAAUUUUUCUAAAAUUAUGUUACAAUUUUUCAAGGGGAAUAACUCCUUAUAAGGGUUAAUAACAAAAUGAUUGUACAUGUUCAUUAACAUUGCCAUCUGUUCCUGUACAUGUUGCCGUUUUCAAAUCGAUUCUAUCUCUUAUACUUUUUGAGAAAAAUGCAAAGGAAAGAAAUUGUUUCAAGGGGAUAUAACUCUCAUAGGGGACGAUGAAAUCCUAUUCAGCCUCACAUGGUAAUACAUCAUGAUGAGAUCUACAUUUUGUCCAAUUAAGGUCAUGAUAUCUUUAAAACCAACGAGGGGGGGCCAUGUUGAAAAAAAUCAAUAAAAGGGAGAUAACUCCUAAAGGGGAUGAUGAAAUCCUUAACAGG